GGGGAACAGGACUGCUCUGAUUGCCAUGGACUGAGCUGGAUCUGCAAGCUUAUCCAGAGCCAGUCCAGGUGCCCAUAGAGAUACCACCGAGUGUCAAUAAGCAGGGAGAGGGUCUGGAGAAGAGAGUGUGGACGGCUGCAGACUGAUCAGAUGCUAACGGAGAGAAGAAGGAUGAAAGAUGUUCCACUGAGAUCUGCCCAGGGAAAAGCUCUCUGGAAAGGGCUUUAGCACCUUUCCUGGAGCAUCACGUCAGCGGCAGGGCUGCGGUUUGCCUCUCUUAAACAACCUUUUGCUGACUUUGAUCUCACAAGGUGACUUUGAUGGGUGAGAUGGAGCAGGGGCAGCUCCAAGAGCCUGCAAGUUCCUGUGAAGCACCAACCUUUUAAGACAGCAUAUUGGAAGGUGCCUGUGCCCAGCAGUUCUGGCCUGGAGGGCUGCUCUCAUCCAUCUCCGUCAAUGC